rnacentral:lncRNA from 1 species
AUGGGAUUUUGCAUUAUGCAGAAUGGAGAUGAAUGUUGCCCGCUAAUGCAACAAGGGACAGGCUUUCGUAUACUGAGAAACAAAGACUGUCCAACACAGACAAGAAUGAGGGUUUCAAAACAAAACAAGUUACAUAAAAUUAGGUUCCCUAUUAUUUCUGAUUAUAAAAGUUGUACUCUCAGCUGUAAAAGUUAAAGGCUUAAAAGAAAAGCACUGCUUACAUAACUCUAAACCUGCAAUUUUAAUCAGCUUUUCAGGCCUUUUUCAUCUAUAUUACAAUUCUUUGUGAGAACAUAAAACCAUCUUUAAGAGACAAAAACAUAGCAUUCUUAAUUGUUUCAGUAAUUAAGUAGUUUACUUGUUUGAUAUAUUUCUUCCCUGAAAAACUUAAUUUUAACAUUUUACUAAAUUUCAACAGUAGAAGCAUGAAAAAAUCAGGAAGUAUUAGAGGAAAAUGACAUUGCUCCAUGAAAGUAAGAUGUGUGGUUUAAACAUGGUUUUAUGAACGUUGUGAAAGAAGCAUAUGUGGCAUUGAAACAUUCUGAGAAAUGGAUAAAUACUUUGUGAUUCUUAACAAUCAACAGUUUCAAUGUUCUUAGGUCUUGCAUUUUAUUUUCAGAAUAGAUAUUUCCAGAAAGUUAAUACCUUGCAUCUUUUUUUUUCUUUUUUUUUUCUUUUUUUUUUUUAAUAUAUUUUCUGGCAUUGUAUAGGACAGACAACCUAAAACCAACAAUGCAGAAAUCUAGCGUGCUGCACACAUUAACAUACACUAGUUACUUUAGUAAUAGAACUUUACAAUGAAGGUACCUACUGCAUUUGUAAAACUCCUUUUUUUAAUCAGCUUGUCAAACCUUUUGAGAAGCAAUCUGGGCAAUCAGAUGUGGUAUUUGUUGUGUCUACUGUGAAUACAGCCAAUUAUAGAAUCAGAGAUCGCUCUCUCCAUACAGUGCUGAUGAAAAAGAGGUGUAAUCCAGGGCUCCAGGAACAGAACCUGGGCCCGUGUAUUGUGGCAUUCUCUUGAUGCAGUACUGAGCCUGCUCAGGAGGCAGCUCUCGACGUAACUCAUCUGCCAGGAUAUAAGGCUUAUCUGAAGCCAGGAUUCUGAAGGAAGCUAUCACUUGCUCAGCCGUGUCCGUAUCUGCUGUUUCUCUGGUCAUGAAGUCAAUGAAGGACUGGAAAGUGACGGUUCCUUGUCCAUUGGGGUCAACCAAGGACAUGAUUCUAGCAAACUCAGCUUCACCCAAAUCAUAACCCAUUGAAAUCAAGCAAGCUCUGAAAUCAUCAUGGUCCAUCAGUCCGUUCUUCCUCCUGUCAAAAUGAUUGAAUGAUGCUCUGAAGUCAUUCAUUUGCUCCUGGGUGAUACCCUUGGCAUCUCUUGUGAGGAUCUGAGUCUCAACCUCAUUGAUAGUUCGAGCAAUGGUAGUAAGUAGGAGCUCCCAUCCAACACGGAUAUGCUCCAUAGUAUAGUUGGUGUGUUUGUUGUCAAACACCAAGGCUUCUUGUAUGAGCUGAUGAUCUCCUUCCAGUUUAUCAAUGUUGUGUUUAUAGUUAAUGAUAUUUUGCUCAUAUUGCUUCAGCUGAUUCAUCUGGUCCUCCAAAGGCCCUGUCAUUUCAAUAGAGCUGCGGGCAAUUUCUUCCAUCUUGGUCUGGAUCCAUGGCCCAAUGACAUUGGCCUGAGCAGCAAACUGGCGACGCAGGCGUUCAUUGGCAUGCUGGCGGGCUAGUUCUUCCUGCAAUGAUUGAUCCCUCUGAGGUACCAGCUGCUUCACCUUUUCCCACUUGGUGCGAAUCUCUUCCACAGUAACAGUGCUGUAAGGAUUGCUUGCACUUAUUCUCAUGCUGUAACUCUGAAUAACUUUUUCAACUUCAUUCUGGAUUGACAGUAUGGCCUGUCUUUCACCAUCUGCCUCUGGCAAAGUAGCUUUAAAUUGAUCAUGUGCAGAGAUUAAACUCUGAAUUUCCUCUAUGCUAUGAACAAUAAACAUGUCCUGUAGGUCUUCCAUAGCACCUUCCAUCCAGUUGUUGAAAGGAGCAGCUCUUUUGGCAAACUCCAGGUGAAGCUGAUCGAUUGUUUCAAGCAAUUUCUCUGUCCUCUCCAGUGCCUCUCUCCUUUUCUGAGUAAGUGUUCCCAAGCUGUCCCAUUGGUCACAUAUCUUUUGGCAUCGAUCAUUGACACUUGCAGCAUCGUGAUAGUCCAGUUCAUUCAGCUCCUGGGCAAUGGCAGCGAUCUGUUCCACCCUGUCCUGGUGAGCAGCCAAAUCGCUCUCAAAAGCCUCAUGUUUCCUCAACAUGGCACGGACUUCUGUCAGAGAUGCAGAUUCAUAAUCCUUCUGAAGUAAGAUCUGCUCUUUGCCAUAUGCCCACUGCUCAUGAGUGGAAGCCUUCUGUCUAAAUUUCUCAGCCAAGUGUUCAAGUCUUUCCAGUCUUCGUAUUUCAUUCAGCAGCCACUCUUCAUAGCCUUUCUCAGCUUGUUCAAGCCUCUGCCAAGCGCCAGCAAUAUCUGAAACCAUUUUUCCCUCCGAUGGCAUGAAAGCUGGUCGAUUGCUGAUUCUCAGUUUUGUCUGCAGGGUGUUGAAAUUGAUCUCCAGCUGACAUUUCUCUUGAACUUUGGGAGGUUUGUGUUUGCGGCGGUAGUCCCGGAAAUCCUCUAAUUUCUUCUGCAUGGCCUGCAUUGUUUUUUCCGGGGUCCUGUUUUCCAGCCAAGGAAUUGUCCUGCGAAUCCAUUCUAAAAGCUCACUUGCAAGUCUCUCAUACUCUUCCAUCAACCUCUCAUUUUCUUGAUUCACAGCAAGCACCUUACAGAUCCGGUUUGCUGCAGUCUCAGCCUGCUCUGCUCCAGCAAAAGCAUGGUAGAAGCAGGACACAUAUGUCAUGAUAGCUCUCUCAUCAGGUUUGGGAGUGUUCACAAUAUCUUCUGCAUCCAACAUCUUAGGGAUAUCCAGAUGUUUCUCAGCAAUUUCCAUGGCAAGGUUGAUAUUUCCUAUGGGGUCAUCCUUAUUUAGCUUGGAGUAGUCAAUAAGGUCAGGUCGGUGUCUGUGGAUAAGUGCACAUAAUCCAAGGCCAUCUUUCCAGCUAAGAUGGAAGUUCUGAAUGUUCACAUUUCUGUAAGGAGCAGUUUUUCUUUGACACCACAGCAGCAGCCCUUCUUUGGCAGAGGUCUCUUCCACUGAAAUAUCUUGAAUAGCAAAGCGAAGGAUGAUGGUCCAGAUCAUACCCAGUGUCAUUUUCACAUUGCCAUCAACAAUUUCUUCUGCACCAAUGGACACAAGUUUCACUCCUUUGCUGGCAAUAUAAUCCAGAGCUUUGUUGACAUUAGCAAUUUUAUGGAAGCGCAUUUUCCCUCUGUCUGGUUUCGGUAGUCUUUCCCCUGAAAUAACUUCCAAGAGCAGCAUCAGUUUGAGACCAUUUCUGAAGUCCUCCUCAAUGUUCUCAAUCUGUGUGCCUGCUUUCCUGAGGUGGGAAUUGCACCAAGCUGUAAACGUCUUCCUUUGCUGUUUCUCCCAUGCUGGGUCCAGAAGCAGGUCCCUGUCCCAUUCUUCCUCUUGGGUCAUGUACUCAUCUUCUUCAUAGUUGUAGGUGUACUGCAUGUUUGUUUCUAUCUGGUUCAUGCUGUUCAUUCUACCCAGGGAUCAGCUUCAACUGCUUUGCCUUCUAACAGUUAAAUAUGUAUAUAUAUGUAAGUUUAGUAUGGUUGCUGAUGGGUUGAAGAUAGCAGCGCGUGUAUUUUUUUUUUUCUUUCCCAAGGAGACAGGAUGUUAUUAUUGAUGAGCUGCUGAGAGCAGAGGCUUUAACUGUCAGGUAGUCACUGAUCGCUGGUGAUCCUCCUUUCCCUCUCUCGCUCUCCCUUUCUCCCUCUCUGUCUCGCUCGCUCUCUCUGCUGCUGCUGCAGGUCCUUACGGCCGACCCUCCGGAGAAGCCCAGCGCUGCUCAUUGCGGCCGCUUAUUAUCCCCGCCGGGCUGUCACGUGGCUGCCGGCGGGUGCCCAGCGCCACUCCGAGUGGCGGCCGCAGGAGCCCGCACUUGCACCGCCGCCGCCCCCCCCCCCCCCCCGGGGCAUACGCCGAGAGGCGCCCAGCAGCGCCGCCGGUCC